UACGAAGGGGGCUAGCGUUGUUCGGAAUUACUGGGCGUAAAGCGCACGUAGGCGGACAUUUAAGUCAGGGGUGAAAUCCUGGAGCUCAACUCCAGAACUGCCUUUGAUACUGGCGAUCUUGAGUCCGGGAGAGGUGAGUGGAACUCCGAGUGUAGAGGUGAAAUUCGUAGAUAUUCGGAAGAACACCAGUGGCGAAGGCGGCUCACUGGCCCGGUACUGACGCUGAUGUGCGAAAGCGUGGGGAGCAAACAGG
rnacentral:rRNA from 1 species